rnacentral:rRNA from 1 species
GUAGUUUGAUCGUGGCUCAGGAUGAACGCUGGCGGCGUGCCUAAUACAUGCAAGUCGAGCGAACAGACGGGGAGCUUUGCUCCCCUGACGUUAGCGGCGGACGGGUGAGUAACACGUGGGUAACCUACCUAUAAGACUGGAAUAACUCCGGGAAACCGGGGCUAAUGCCGGAUAACAUGUUGGACCGCAUGGUCCUACAGUGAAAGACGGUCUUGACUGUCACUUUAUAGGUGGACCCGCGCCGUAUUAGCUAGUUUGGUAAGGUAACGGCUUACCUAAGGCAACGAUACGUAGCCGACCUGAGAGGGUGAUCGGCCACACUGGAACUGAGACACGGUCCAGACUCCUACGGGAGGCAGCAGUAGGGAAUCUUCCGCAAUGGGCGAAAGCCUGACGGAGCAACGCCGCGUGAGUGAUG